rnacentral:rRNA from 1 species
GCAAUUCGACAUGAUCUGAUUUGUUGAUUAUCUUGUUUUUGGUUUGUGAUUAAUUAAUUGUUUAUUAAAGAAUUAUUUUGUUGUUGUAUUUUUUUUGAUUUAAUUUUUUUACUAUAGUAUAUUUGUACCGUAAGGGGUUGUGAUGGUUUAAUGUUUUUUUGGAAGCUGAUUUUUUUUGUCGUACCUUGUGUAUCAGGGUUCAUUGAAUUUUAUUAUUUAUUUUUAUUUCCCGAUUUUAAAGGAGUUAAUGACUUAUAUUAGUUACUGUUUCAUUAGUAUUAAUAAUAGGUUGUUGGUAGUGAAAUGUUAUUCGUCUUUAGUGGUUUCUGGUUUUUCAAGAAAUGAAUUUAAUUCAUACAUCUUAUUUAAUUUCUGUUGUUGAUUUAUUUGGGGAUUUUUAUUUGAUGUUAAGAUUGAGGGGGAUUAGCUCCUUGUUUUAAUUCUUAUAAUAGGUUUAUGUUUAAUUUAGUUUUGUGGAUUUUAUGGUGAUUUUCUAUUUGAUUAUGUUAAAAUUUUAUUUAUUCUUUUAUUUCUUUUUUGUUGUUUAAGUUAUUUAUUGAAAUGUUUUCUUUAGUUUUGUUUUGUAUAAUAAUUAUUGUGUAAUUAGUAAAUUUUUUUUGUUGUUUUGUUUUUACUAUAAAUGUUGAUUGUUUUUGAGGAAUUCGGCAAAAUUUUUAUGUCCGCCUGUUUAACAAAAACAUCUUUUCUUGUUAGUUUUUGAAGUAUGGCCUGCCCACUGACAUUUAGUUGUUGAAGGGCCGCGGUAUUUUGACCGUGCAAAGGUAGCAUAAUCAUUAGUUCUUUAAUUGUGAUCUGGUAUGAAUGGCUUGACGAGACAUAAGCUGUCUUAAGGAUAUUGUUUAUUGAAUUUGGUUUUUGAGUUAAAAUUCUUAAAUGUUUUUAUGGGACGAGAAGACCCUAUAGAGUUUGACAGUUUUCUUAUUUAUUUAUUGUUUGUUUGGGUUUAGUAUUAAUUAAUAAAAUUGUUUUGUUGGGGUGAUGGGAGGAAAUUAUUUAACUCCUCUUUUUUUUGUUUAUAUUUAUUUAUAUUUUUUUGAUCCAUUUAUUUUGAUUAUAAGAUUAAAUUACCUUAGGGAUAACAGCGUUAUCCUCCUUGAGAGUUCUUAUUGGCAGGAGGGGUUGCGACCUCGAUGUUGGAUUAAGAUGAAUUUUCGGUGCAGGAGCUGAAAUUGAUUGGGUCUGUUCGACCUUUAAAAUCUUACAUGAUCUGAGUUCAGACCGGCGUGAGCCAGGUUGGUUUCUAUCUAUAAAAUUGCUUUAUAUCUUAGUACGAGAGGACCGGGUAUUUGAAAUAAUUUCAGUCAUAUAUUGGUUUUUGUUAAUGUGAUACUAUUUUGGCAGAUAAGUGCAU